rnacentral:rRNA from 1 species
AUUGAACGCUGGCGGCAGGCCUAACACAUGCAAGUCGAGCGGAUGAAGGGAGCUUGCUCCUGGAUUCAGCGGCGGACGGGUGAGUAAUGCCUAGGAAUCUGCCUGGUAGUGGGGGAUAACGUCCGGAAACGGGCGCUAAUACCGCAUACGUCCUGAGGGAGAAAGUGGGGGAUCUUCGGACCUCACGCUAUCAGAUGAGCCUAGGUCGGAUUAGCUAGUUGGUGGGGUAAAGGCCUACCAAGGCGACGAUCCGUAACUGGUCUGAGAAGAUGAUCAGUCACACUGGAACUGAGACACGGUCCAGACUCCUACGGGAGGCAGCAGUGGGGAAUAUUGGACAAUGGGCGAAAGCCUGAUCCAGCCAUGCCGCGUGUGUGAAGAAGGUCUUCGGAUUGUAAAGCACCUUAAGUUGGGAGGAAGGGCAGUAAGUUAAUACCUUGCUGUUUUGACGUUACCAACAGAAUAAGCACCGGCUAACUUCGUG